UGGUUUUGUUAGUGACGGUGACCCGCCGGUACCUGUGGAUUACCCUCUCUGCAUCGGAAAUUGUUUCCUCGUCGCCUGCUCUGCUCCCACUGAGGCUUUCGUCCGCCGUUGCUUCAGUCGAGCUCUGCGGCGGGAAGCCUGCCUUCGCCGGCGAGGGAGGAGUGUCACUCGCACUCACUCACCCGCCACUCCUUCGGGGCUGCGUUGGCGGAAAAAUCUCUUGAUUGUGAAUGGCUUAGAAGUAAAGAAAGACGCAAAGAAGUGGUAAAGAGAUGUCAUCCAAGGACUGGAAUGGUGAUAUGAAGACGGUAAAUAGCUCCAUAAAGGAGAAUUUGUUGCAGAUCAAAGUAGCUUCCGCUCCUCUAACUGCCCAAUCAUCAAGAUCAAUCCUCUGUUCUGGGGAAGUAGCAAUUGGUCAUGUUGCUGCAUGUCGUCCUGAUGUAAUUGGAGGGGUCAUUCCAGUUGGAGGAGGAAGUGAAAGAGUACACAGUGACGAACCAAUUGCAGGGUUCAUUUUUAUGUGUAGUGGGAAGACAAAACCAGAGUGUUUUAUGUAUCGUGUUUUUGGACUACCAACGGGAAAACUGGAAGAUGUAAAGAAAAUACAGCCAAGCAUGAAGCUCUUCUUGUACGAUUUUGACUUGAAGCUUCUCUAUGGAGUUUAUGAGGCAACUUCAUAUGGACGGCUGAACUUGGAACCAUUGGCUUUCGCUCAGAGAUUUCCUUCCCAGGUAACAUUUAAAAUUUUCAAGGAUUGUUUACCAGUCCCUGAGUGUGUCUUCAGGCAUGCCAUCAAAGAAAAUUACAGUGGUUCUAAAUUUAAGCAAGAGCUUCAAAGUAAUCAGGUGAAUUCUCUCAUGGAACUGUUUCGACCUAUAGAUAUCAUGCCACCUGCUACCAAUACUCUCCAUCCAUUAACAAGGUUGCCUCCUGCAGAUAGCACAUAUGUAUCUGGGGCUCAUCAUACUGGUCCUCUGCAUAUGCCUAGGCAUUAUCAACCUUAACGUGCAAACAGUUGUUUGCCAUAUGAACAGUAUAUGCCUGAGUCCUGAGCUCUUGAGGUACAAUCUGUGGCAGAGCCUCAGUAUCACAUUCAGAAAGUUGCUUAUGUUCAUCCAAACCAAAAUCUUCAGGGGUCACACGACUCACACCCGCCAUACUUUCCUAAGGAGCCACGUUUAUCAAGAACUGAUACAUAUGGAAGGGUGGCAGUUGCAGCGGAGAUGGCUCCCAUCCAGCAGGCACUCGGAUAUGUUGACGCAUAUUAUAUAUCAGACCAGCCAAGAGUGAUGCAAACGGUCAGCUAUCAUAGUCAACAGGCUGCAACUGCUGCAGUUUCCUAUGCUUCCACGUCGUCAGCUACACUUUCGAAUGGUUCAGUUCCCUCAUACGUGCAGCCUCCUCCAUAUUAUGCACACUGGGACCCCCGUAUUCUAAUGACAUUACGUGGGCGUGCCGCGACCUCUGUAUUCCCUGGUAUCUUGUAAUGAGUAACGACCCCGUGAAUUCAACGAAAACCCGAUACAUGAUUGGCGGAAUACAUGUUAUAUUAAAUUUUUUUAGAUAUUUUGGGGCAAUAUCGAGUCAACGCUAGUAGCUGUCUAAAAGCAGAAAGGUCAACUUGAUGUGGACCAGGGGAGUGUUCAACAAGGCAUGUGGGUCGAUCGUGAUUUUCUCGUAGCUACUUGCAAGCAUGGGCAUAAUAUGAUUUUUUUUUCUGUCCA